AUUGAACGCUGGCGGCAUGCUUUACACAUGCAAGUCGAACGGUAACAGGCCUUCGGGUGCUGACGAGUGGCGAACGGGUGAGUAAUGCAUCGGAACGUGCCCAGAGGUGGGGGAUAACGCAGCGAAAGCUGUGCUAAUACCGCAUGUGAUCUGAGGAUGAAAGCGGGGGACCAGGCAGCAAUGUUUGGCCUCGCGCCUUUGGAGCGGCCGAUGUCAGAUUAGGUAGUUGGUGGGGUAAAGGCCUACCAAGCCGACGAUCUGUAGCUGGUCUGAGAGGACGACCAGCCACACUGGUACUGAGACACGGCCCAGACUCCUACGGGAGGCAGCAGUGGGGGAUUUUGUUGAAUGGGCGCAAGCCUGAUGCAGCAAUGCCGCGGGCGGGAAGAAGGCCUUCGGGUUGUAAACCGCUUUUGUACGGAACGAAAAGGCUCUGGCUAAUACCUGGGGCUGAUGACGGUACCGUAAGAAUAAGCACCGGCUAACUACGUG
rnacentral:rRNA from 1 species